ACAAGAAACUGUCUGAGGAGACCCAGGAGGCAGCUGGGUAUGGUCUAGGUCUGGGAGCCUACGCCUUGACAAGCAUGAAGGGCAAAGAGGAAGUGUGAGCUGAAACCAUCUACACAACAGGGAGCAUCCAAGCAAAGCAUUUUACGGGUCAGCAAAACACACCCAGGCAGCCAGGAUCCAAAGAGAAAGAGAUCCUAUCCUGUGUGACACUGCCAUGGGCUCCAUGCUCCUCAGUUACCUGGCCCUUUGUCUCCUGGUGGCAGGUCCAGUCGACCCGAAAAUUAUCCAGAAACCAAAAUAUCUGGUGGCAGUCACAGGGAGUGAAAAAACCCUGAUAUGCGAACAGUAUCUAGGCCACAAUGCUAUGUAUUGGUAUAGACAAAGUGCUAAGAAGUCUCUAGAGUUCAUGUUUUCCUAUAGCUAUCAAAAACUUAUGGACAACCAGACUGCCUCAAGUCGCUUCCAACCUCAAAGUUCAGAGAAAAACCAUUUAGACCUUCAGAUCACAGCCCUAAAGCCUGACGACGCGGCCACGUACUUCUGUGCCAGUAGCCAAGACACAGCCCUGCAGAGCUCUUGCCUCCCUGUACACAAACCUCCUCAGUCUAUCCAGGAAACUGUUGAUGUAACUGGUCUACCUGAGCCUGGGGACUCAGUUCAGUAG